UACAGAGGGGGCAAGCGUUAUUCGGAAUUAUUGGGCGUAAAGGGCGCGUAGGCGGCAUGGCAAGUGGGUGGUGAAAUCCCUCGGCUUAACCGAGGAACUGCCGUCCAAACUGCUUCGCUUGAGACCGGGAGAGGUGAGUGGAAUUCCCAGUGUAGCGGUGAAAUGCGUAGAUAUUGGGAGGAACACCAGUGGCGAAGGCGGCUCACUGGACCGGUACUGACGCUGAAGCGCGAAAGCGUGGGGAGCAAACAGG
rnacentral:rRNA from 1 species